rnacentral:rRNA from 1 species
GAUGAACGCUGGCGGCGUGCCUAAUACAUGCAAGUCGAGCGAACAGACGAGGAGCUUGCUCCUCUGACGUUAGCGGCGGACGGGUGAGUAACACGUGGAUAACCUACCUAUAAGACUGGGAUAACUUCGGGAAACCGGAGCUAAUACCGGAUAAUAUAUUGAACCGCAUGGUUCAAUAGUGAAAGACGGUUUUGCUGUCACUUAUAGAUGGAUCCGCGCCGCAUUAGCUAGUUGGUAAGGUAACGGCUUACCAAGGCAACGAUGCGUAGCCGACCUGAGAGGGGGUACGCCCCCCGGGGAAGUGACACCCGACCCAGGCCCCGAGGGGAGGCAGAAGGAGGGAAUCUUCCGAAAAGGGCGAAAGCCUGACGGAGCAACGCCGCGGGGGUGAAGAAGGUCUUCGGAUCGUAAAACCUUUUUAUUGGGGAAAAAAAAAUGUGAAAGUAAAUAUGCACGUCUUAAGGGUACCUAAAAAGAAAGCCACGCCUAACUACGU